AACAAAACUCUGAUUUGAGGGUCAGGAUCCCGGGGGAAACUCACCAGCCGCAGGGUGGAUCAAGGUGUCGUCUCUCCAGGUGCACAGAGGACGAACAAGCUCCUGGUCUCUGCUUAUAUAGUGGCCAGAGCGUCAUAGGAUUCUAGGACUGUGUCUGGUUAUCUUGAGUGUAUAUAUCUGCAUGUGGGUAUGUGAUAUGCGUUCAGAGCUCAGAGGCAACGGAUCACCUGGAGCUGCAAUUAUAGACUGUUCUGAGACACCUGUCAUGGAUGCUGGGACCCUAAAUUGGGUCCUCCAGAAGAGCAGCAAGUGGUCUUAAUUGCUGAGCCAUCUCUAGCCAUGAUGGUAGAGUUUCUAGAACAGUUUAAAACUGUAUUUCUCAGGCAAACCAGAAGCAUCAGCAUCACCUGGGAAUGGGCCAUGUCAAAUUAAAAGACGAAGACAAAACUUCUUCACUAGGAAUUGAUAAGGUCUCCUCAAAGGACAGCCUCUUCCCACCUCUUCCGCUCCACCAGAUGCCAUGAGAAGCCUUGCUGUAAUGAGCUACUGUAAGUGGUGUCUUAAAAUCCUUCAGGCAUUUAGGACCAGAGAGAAGUUGAGAACCACAGAAAGAACUUUCCACUCAUUGGUGAAACUGUUAGCCAGAAGGCAGAAAAACACAGGCAAAUGGAAGCUAGAGGCAAGAGAGAGUUGAGAGU